rnacentral:pre_miRNA from 2 species
CUUACACAUUUUUUUUGGCAUUCUGUCCACCUCCUCCACCCUUAGUUUACUUGAUCGAUCUCAUCACUAAUUUGCGACCGGAGGUGGACAAACUGUCAACAGAGUUGUGUUGG